GGGCGAAGCCUGAUGCAGCGACGCCGCGUGAGGGAUGACGGCCUUCGGGUUGUAAACCUCUUUCAGCAGGGAAGAAGCGAGAGUGACGGUACCUGCAGAAGAAGCGCCGGCUAACUACGUGCCAGCAGCCGCGGUAAUACGUAGGGCGCAAGCGUUGUCCGGAAUUAUUGGGCGUAAAGAGCUCGUAGGCGGCUUGUCACGUCGGAUGUGAAAGCCCGGGGCUUAACCCCGGGUCUGCAUUCGAUACGGGCAGGCUAGAGUUCGGUAGGGGAGAUCGGAAUUCCUGGUGUAGCGGUGAAAUGCGCAGAUAUCAGGAGGAACACCGGUGGCGAAGGCGGAUCUCUGGGCCGAUACUGACGCUGAGGAGCGAAAGCGUGGGGAGCGAACAGGAUUAGAUACCCUGGUAGUCCACGCCGUAAACGUUGGGAACUAGGUGUGGGCGACAUUCCACGUCGUCCGUGCCGCAGCUAACGCAUUAAGUUCCCCGCCUGGGGAGUACGGCCG
rnacentral:rRNA from 1 species